GACAGAGGGUGCAAACGUUGUUCGGAAUUACUGGGCGUAAAGCGAGUGUAGGCGGUCUGCUAAGUCGGGUGUGAAAGCCCCGGGCUCAACCCGGGAAGUGCACUCGAAACUGGCAGGCUAGAGUAUCGGAGAGGUUGGUGGAAUUCUCGGUGUAGAGGUGAAAUUCGUAGAUAUCGAGAGGAACACCGGUGGCGAAGGCGGCCAACUGGACGAAUACUGACGCUGAGACACGAAAGCGUGGGGAGCAAACAGG
rnacentral:rRNA from 1 species